rnacentral:rRNA from 1 species
GUCGAGCGAAUGGAUUAAGAGCUUGCUCUUAUGAAGUUAGCGGCGGACGGGUGAGUAACACGUGGGUAACCUGCCCAUAAGACUGGGAUAACUCCGGGAAACCGGGGCUAAUACCGGAUAAUAUUUUGAACCGCAUGGUUCGAAAUUGAAAGGCGGCUUCGGCUGUCACUUAUGGAUGGACCCGCGUCGCAUUAGCUAGUUGGUGAGGUAACGGCUCACCAAGGCAACGAUGCGUAGCCGACCUGAGAGGGUGAUCGGCCACACUGGGACUGAGACACGGCCCAGACUCCUACGGGAGGCAGCAGUAGGGAAUCUUCCGCAAUGGACGAAAGUCUGACGGAGCAACGCCGCGUGAGUGAUGAAGGCUUUCGGGUCGUAAAACUCUGUUGUUAGGGAAGAACAAGUGCUAGUUGAAUAAGCUGGCACCUUGACGGUACCUAACCAGAAAGCCACGGCUAACUACGUGCCAGCAGCCGCGGUAAUACGUAGGUGGCAAGCGUUAUCCGGAAUUAUUGGGCGUAAAGCGCGCGCAGGUGGUUUCUUAAGUCUGAUGUGAAAGCCCACGGCUCAACCGUGGAGGGUCAUUGGAAACUGGGAGACUUGAGUGCAGAAGAGGAAAGUGGAAUUCCAUGUGUAGCGGUGAAAUGCGUAGAGAUAUGGAGGAACACCAGUGGCGAAGGCGACUUUCUGGUCUGUAACUGACACUGAGGCGCGAAAGCGUGGGGAGCAAACAG